rnacentral:rRNA from 1 species
ACGGAGGGUGCAAGCGUUAUCCGGAUUUAUUGGGUUUAAAGGGUCCGUAGGCGGACUUAUAAGUCAGUGGUGAAAGCCUGUCGCUUAACGAUAGAACUGCCAUUGAUACUGUAAGUCUUGAGUAUAUUUGAGGUAGCUGGAAUAAGUAGUGUAGCGGUGAAAUGCAUAGAUAUUACUUAGAACACCAAUUGCGAAGGCAGGUUACCAAGAUAUAACUGACGCUGAGGGACGAAAGCGUGGGGAGCGAACAGGAUUAGAUACCCUGGUAGUCCACGCCGUAAACGAUGCUAACUCGUUUUUGGGCUUUAGGGUUCAGAGACCAAGCGAAAGUGAUAAGUUAGCCACCUGGGGAGUACGCUCGCAAGAGUG